rnacentral:rRNA from 1 species
UCACCUGCCGAAGCAACUAGCCCUGAAAAUGGAUGGCGCUCUAGCGUCGUGCCUAUACCGGGCCGUCAACGGCAAAGUGGGCUAGUGACCGGUCGGUUAACGCCGGCCGGCUUGGCCGUUACGCCUUGACGAGUAGGAGGUGCGCGGCGGUGUGCGCAGAAGGGUCUGGGCGUGAGCCUGCCUGGAGCCGCCGUCGGUGCAGAUCUUGGUGGUAGUAGCAAAUACUCUAGCGAGGGCCUGGAGGGCUGAUGUGGAGAAGGGUUUCUUGUGAACAGCCGUUGCACAAGAGUCAGUCGACCCUAAGCCCUAGGAGAAAUCCGAUGUUGAUGGGCAGCGAUCAUGCGGCUGGUUCGAUCACCGAGGUGAUUCGGUCGGCCAACCGACUGCUCCCGUCGGGCGAAAGGGAAUCCGGUUCCUAUUCCGGAACCCGGCUGCGGAACCGUAACUUCACGGGCACUCGCCUGUGAGCGCUCGUCGGGGUAACCCAAAAUGACCCGGAGACGCCGGCGGGAGGUCUGGGAAGAGUUGUCUUUUCUUUAUAAGCGUUCGAGUUCCCUGGAAUCCUAUAGCAGGGAGAUAGGGUUUGGAACGCGAAGAGCACCGCAGUUGCGGCGGUGUCCGGACCUUCCCCCCGGACCUUGAAAAUCCGGGUGAGGGCUACGCGGAAUGUCGCGCCGGCUCGUACCCAUAUCCGCAGCAGGUCUCCUA